UGAUGUGUAGGAUAGGUGGGAGGCUUUGAAGUGUGGACGCCAGUCUGCAUGGAGCCAUCCUUGAAAUACCACCCUUUAAUGGCUGGUGUUCUAACGUGGACCCGUUACCCGGGUUGCGGACAGUGUCUGGUGGGUAGUUUGACUGGGGCGGUCUCCUCCUAAAGAGUAACGGAGGAGCACGAAGGUUAGCUAAUCCUGGUCGGACAUCAGGAGGUUAGUGCAAAGGCAUAAGCUAGCUUGACUGCGAGAGUGACGGCUCGAGCAGGUGCGAAAGCAGGUCUUAGUGAUCCGGUGGUUCUGAAUGGAAGGGCCAUCGCUCAACGGAUAAAAGGUACUCCGGGGAUAACAGGCUGAUACCGCCCAAGAGUUCAUAUCGACGGUACUCCGGGGAUAACAGGCUGAUACCGCCCAAGAGUUCAUAUCGACGGCGGUGUUUGGCACCUCGAUGUCGGCUCAUCUCAUCCUGGGGCUGAAGCAGGUCCCAAGGGUAUGGCUGUUCGCCAUUUAAAGAGGUACGCGAGCUGGGUUUAGAACGUCGUGAGACAGUUCGGUCCCUAUCUACCGUGGGCGCUGGAAAUUUGAGAGGAUCUGCUCCUAGUACGAGAGGACCAGAGUGGACGAACCUCUGGUGUACCGGUUGUGACGCCAGUCGCAUCGCCGGGUAGCUAUGUUCGGAAGGGAUAACCGCUGAAAGCAUCUAAGCGGGAAGCCUACCUCAAGAUAAGAUUUCCCUGUGACUAUAUGUCACCUAAAGAGCCGUUCAAGACUAGGACGUUGAUAGGUUGGAUGUGGAAGCAUAGUGAUAUGUGAAGCUGACCAAUACUAAUUGCUCGUGAGGCUUGACUAU
rnacentral:rRNA from 1 species